rnacentral:lncRNA from 10 species
AGCCCCUGUUGGUCCUAGUUCUCUCUGGCCACCAGAACUCAUCUGCUUCCUCCUCCCACGAGAAACUGGGGAGAGAUGGAGACAGCACCCAAAGCCUGCUCUUCUUUAAGCUGUUUCCUCUCAACUGGGCUUUCCAUCGUGCCAUUGCUGGGCUACCUUGGCUUGGCCAAGCCCCAUCUCCUAUUGUCGCAGUGUGAAUACCAGCAGAAGAAGCAAACAGCCUGCAGAUGGGACACUUAUUCACCCCUGAUGCAAGUGUGACUGGGAGCUAUUGAAUGACUGAUGAGAUCCGUUGUAACAAUCAUUCUGGCAAAGGUGUGGAGAUGGCUCAGAGGAUUGAGCUGGGAGCAGGGUGGCCUCAGCCACAUGUGCUACCAUGGCUCUGAGCAGGGCAGACUGAGCUUGUUGAGGGAGGGACUGUGUCUGAUUCAGUUACAAUUACCAGAUGAGAAUGGCCAAUUAUGAGAGAAUUCAGAGUACAAUCAAGUCCAAUAAAUGCCAUAGUGAUGCUGAGGACAAGAUGCCAAGAGGGUCUAACAUCCCUGAAAGAGACAGCCUCUUGCCCUGGAAAGAUGCCAGAGAGGGAAGCAGGAGACUUGAGUUCUGAUCCGGAUCUCUCUGCCGUUGGGUGAUCCCCUGCCCUCCUCUGGACCUCAGUUUCCCCAUCUCUACAGUGAGGAUAAUAAUCCUAGUGCUAUUUCCCCAUAGAAAUGUUGUGAAGCUCAAAGGUGAGACCAAAAUCACUCAUUGGACAAACUCCAGGCAGGGUGGGAGUGUUGGCUGGGUAGAUGUGGUCAUCUGCCAAGUGGCCAUGCUGAGGCUUUGGGGGCUCUACUCCCACCACCAAUGGGGUCCUUCUCAGAGACUUGCACUCUCUUCUUCCAGCUCACUCAUAUUGUGGGGCUCAGAGAAUGUUAAUUAUUAGGGCCCAGCCCACAUGGAGGGCUUAAGAUGAAAGCAAGCUCAGAGUGUAAAGUCUAAUCAAUGCCCCACACUUGGCGUCAGGGCCUCGGCUUGGUCUGCUUGGAGAUGGAUCAUUAAUCUAGACACUCCGACUUGGAACACUGGGCACAGGAAGUCCUGAAACAUUCCUGACCACCCACAGCUCAGCCUGUCAGCCCCAU